rnacentral:rRNA from 1 species
UGAGGAACAUGACCUUCGGCGGGGGAUAGCCGGCCCAACGGCCGGGUAAUACCGCGUACGACCUUAUGGGGACAUCCCUGGAAGGUGAAAGCAGCAAUGCGCCGAUGGAGUGCCUCGCGGCCUAUCAGCUAGUUGGUGAGGUAACGGCUCACCAAGGCGACGAUGCGUAGCCGACCUGAGGAGGGUGAUCCGGCCACAUUGGAACUGAGACACGGUCCAGACUCCGUACGGGAGCAG